UACGGAGGGUGCAAACGUUGCUCGGAAUCAUUGGGCGUAAAGCGCACGUAGGCGGUCUGUUAAGUCGGAUGUGAAAGCCCCGGGCUCAACCCGGGAAGUGCAUUCGAAACUGGCAGGCUUGAAUAUGGAAGAGGGUCGCGGAAUUCCCGGUGUAGAGGUGAAAUUCGUAGAUAUCGGGAGGAACACCAGUGGCGAAGGCGGCGACCUGGGCCAAUAUUGACGCUGAGGUGCGAAAGCGUGGGGAGCAAACAGG
rnacentral:rRNA from 1 species